rnacentral:misc_RNA from 1 species
GACUCACCCUUUGUGAACAUAUCUUGUUGCUUCGGGGGCGACCCUGCCGUUCGCGGCAUUCCCCCCGGAGGUCAUCAAAACACUGCAUUCUUACGUCGGAGUAAAAAGUUAAUUUAAUAAAACUUUCAACAACGGAUCUCUUGGUUCUGGCAUCGAUGAAGAACGCAGCGAAAUGCGAUAAGUAAUGUGAAUUGCAGAAUUCAGUGAAUCAUCGAAUCUUUGAACGCACAUUGCGCCCCCUGGUAUUCCGGGGGGCAUGCCUGUUCGAGCGUCAUUUCACCACUCAAGCCUCGCUUGGUAUUGGGCGUCGCGAGUCUCUCGCGCGCCUUAAAGUCUCCGGCUGUUUGACCCGUCUCCCAGCGUUGUGACAAAUUUCGCAGUGGAGUUCGGAUUAACAUGGCCGUUAAAUCUUUCAAAGG